UCUAGUAGCUGGUUCCCACCGAAGUUUCCCUCAGGAUAGCUGGUGCAUUUAGAUAUUAUAUAAAAUAAUCUUAUCUGGUAAAGCGAAUGAUUAGAGGCCUUAGGGCCGAAACGACCUUAACCUAUUCUCAAACUUUAAAUGGGUAAGAACCUAAAAUUUCUUGAAUGAAUUUUUAGGUUAUGAUAUAUUGUGCCCAGUGGGCCACUUUUGGUAAGCAGAACUGGCGCUGUGGGAUGAACCAAACGUGACGUUACGGUGCCUAAAAUUAACAACUCAUGCAGAUACCAUGAAAGGCGUUGCUUGCUUAAAACAGCAGGACGGUGGACAUGGAAGUCGUAAUCCGCUAAGGAGUGUGUAACAACUCACCUGCCGAAGCAACUAGCCCUUAAAAUGGAUGGCGCUUAAGUUGUAUACCUAUACGUCACUGUUAAUGUAUAUGAUUUAUAUUUUUUAAAAAUAUAAAUUUAUAAACAUUAACAAGUAGGUGGGUACAAUGGUAUGCUUAGAAGUGUUUACCGUAAGGUUGCAUGGAGCUGCCAUUGGUACAGAUCUUGGUGGUAGUAGCAAAUAAUCGAAUGAGACCUUGGAGGACUGAAGUGGAGAAGGGUUUCGUGUGAACAGUGGUUGAUCACGAGUUAGUCGGUCCUAAGCUUAAGGCGAAAGCCAAUAAAUAUUUAGAGUUUUACCCACUUUGGUAAUAUAAAAUACUUUAAGUAUAUAAAUUAAGCGAAAGGGAAUACGGUUCCAAUUCCGUAACCUGUUGAGUAUACGUUUGUAAUAAAUAUGGUCAUUAUGAUCAUCCUGGUAACAGAAACAAUCAUAGAGAAGCCGUCGAGAGGUAUCGGAAGAGUUUUCUUUUCUGUUUUAUAGUUGUAUAACCAUGGAAAUCUUUCGAAGAGAGAUAUGGUUAAUGAACUAGAAGAGCAUGGCAUUUACUGCUGUGUCGAUAUUUUCUCCUCGGACCUUGAAAAUCUAUGAUUGGGCCACGCAAACUUCUCAACAGGCCGUACCGAUAU
rnacentral:rRNA from 1 species